rnacentral:rRNA from 1 species
AUGCAUUGUUUUGCUUGUUUUGAUGAAACUAUCGAUUUGUAUCGGUGGUAUAAGCCAUGGAAAAGUUAUAUUACAGUAGCUACAAUGCAAAAACAAAAUAUGAAUUGGUUUGCAACAAUACUUAGAGUAGUGAUUUGCUUUAUUAUACUAACAGAUCUUACCGAGCUUUCUGUUGAGUUUUGUGUGGAUGAAGUGAUCAAAGAUCGAGGAGGUCUCAAUAUGAGGAGAAGGAGGAGAGGCAAGAGCUCAAGAUUGGGGAUGCCCAAGGCACCCCAAGUAAAUAUUCAAGGAGACUCAAGCGUCUAA